GGAAUUGACGGGGGCCCGCGCAAGGCGGUGGAGCAUGUGGUUCAAUUUGAUGCAACGCGAAGAACCUUACCAUCCCUUGACAUACAGAGAAGAUACCAGAGAUGGAAUCGUGCCUUCGGGAACUCUGAUACAGGUGCUGCAUGGCUGUCGUCAGCUCGUGUCGUGAGAUGUUGGGUUAAGUCCCGUAACGAGCGCAACCCUUGUCUUUAGUUGCUAGCAGGUCAAGCUGAGAACUCUAGAGAGACUGCCGGUGAUAAACCGGAGGAAGGCGGGGACGACGUCAAGUCAUCAUGGCCCUUAUGGGAUGGGCUACACACGUGCUACAAUGGGAGGUACAAAGAGCAGCCAACUGGCAACAGUGAGCGAAUCUCAAAAAACCUCUCGUAGUCCGGAUCGGAGUCUGCAACUCGACUCCGUGAAGUCGGAAUCGCUAGUAAUCGUGAAUCAGAAUGUCACGGUGAAUACGUCCCCGGGCCUUGUACACACCGCCCGUCACACCAUGGGAGUGGGUUGCAAAAGAAGUAGGUAGUCUAACCUUCGGGAGGGCGCUUACCACUUUGU
rnacentral:rRNA from 1 species